ensembl:lncRNA
CAGGCCUCAUAGGAAGUUGACCACGAAGAGUCAGCUCGGGCUGGAGGCCACCAGUGGCUUCAAAGAGAGGCCACAGACCUCAGCCUAUUAAUCUAAGCCACAGCAAGACCACAGUACAAAACUGGGACAUGACGCAGACGCAGAGCCUGUGUGCCGCUCCCUCACAGGGAGCCCGCUGCAGCCACCCAGCCACAACAGUUCCUUAAGAAAAGUGCAGGUCUGUCCACCUGCCUCAGUGUAUGUCGUCCACCUGACUGGUUCAUCGCUGUGCCUGGCCGGAGGCUUGCUGUUACCAGUGAUACACAAACCCUGAACCUAAAGAGGAUGCCACAACGCGGGCCUUCAUCCUGAGCCAGAAGCUACGGAGGCAGCUCAACCGAAAGUGAUUGUCAGGGGAAGCGGGUGUGUGUGUGUGUGUGUGUGUGUGUGUGUGUGCUAUAGGAACACACACACACACACACACACACACACACACACACACACACCAGACGCAUACAAAAUGCUGGAUAUACUACUAUUGUCUGAUCAGCGCUAUAUGGUCUGAUAAGGCUUAAUUAAUAACUCAGAAUAAGACAGAAUAGAAGUGUUUCUCUUCACAUUCUUCUCCCCAGGCAUAACCCCUUCUCCCUUCCCCCUGUUCCUUCCUACUCUCCUUCCUCCUUCCUUCUUCUUCCCCCUUCGACCUGUCUUUUCUUUCUUACUCGUCGAUUGUUGUGUGGUUGCAGCAAUAUGCAAAGAAAUGUGAUGCAUUCCCUUACCAAUUUGUAGCUUAAGAUGCAUAUAAUGUGCUCUAGUUCCAUGUUCAUCAAUAAUGAAGGAGAUUGAAACUUUGUAUUGUCUCUUAAGUGGAUCUUAGGGGACAGUUUUCGGCAAAGGGUAAUCGGUUUCACAGGGUAAAUGAAGCAACAAUCAAUAAAGGAUCCUUACAACCAGUGGGAUAAACAGAGAUUAAUUCAAUUUAUUCAAAUCAUUGAGUGUAUUGGACAAUAUGUAGGAUAGGACACAGUAAAAACAGAGAGCAAAAAUACAAACCAGAUUAAUCUCCACACACACACACACCCACACACACACACACACACACACACUUUCAAACUCACAUAAAGACACACACACACACUCACAAACAAACAAACGCACACACACACACACAAACAAACACACAAACACGCAUUGAGUCUACUGCACACUUUAGGUGUAUUCAUACCUUCAUACACACACAUGCCCACGUAGGUGAAUAUGAACAAAUGCAUAUUCUCCACAGCAUCACAGCAGUCUAGUUGACACCUCACGUAGAGCUGCAUAUUCGAUGGGGCUCCAGGUCAAACGCAAUCUGACUAUAUUUGAAGUGAGAUCAACUCCGGUUUGAUGUGAGUCGAAACCAGUGAAAAUCCAGGUACCUUGAGCCUAUUGCCGUACUCAACUUCAGAGCUUGCGUUAAGUUCGACCUAGCAGAGAGCUGGCUGAGGUGAUGAUGAGUAAUGCAGAGCUGUCCCUGCAUUCUGUGCCAUACUUUGCUUGCUUUGAGACAACAGGAAUAUCUCAGCAGGAAUGGGA